rnacentral:rRNA from 1 species
ACCCGGGUAGUCCUAGCAGUAAAUCAUGCAAACUAGGCGUUGCAGUCACUUAGAGUGGUUGCAGUGCCGUACCGAAGGGGUUUAGUUUGCCACUUGGGGAGUACGGUCGCAAGGCUGAAACUUAAAGGAAUUGGCGGGGGAGCACCACAAGGGGUGGAUGCUGCGGUUCAAUUGGAUUCAACGCCGGGAAACUCACCAGAAGAGACGGCAGUAUGAAGCUCAGACUAAAGAUCUUAGCUAACGAGCCGAGAGGUGUUGCAUGGCCCGCGUCAGUUCGUGCCGUGAGGUGUCAGGUUAAGUCCUGUAACGAACGAGAUCUCUGUCCACAGUUGCUACCGAGAAAGAAAUUUUGAGGGCACUCUGUGGAGACCGCCAGCGUUAAGUUGGAGGAAGGAAGAGGCGACGCUAGGUCUGUAUGGCCCUAAUCUUCUGGGCCACACGUGGCAUACAAUGGCCAAGACAAUGGGUUCCGACUCCGAAAGGAGAAGCGAAUCUCACAAACUUGGCCUAAGUUCGGAUUGGGGGCUGAAACUCGCCCCCAUGAAGCUGGAAUCCCUAGUAAU